AGCAGUAGCCGCGGUAAUACAGAGGGUGCAAGCGUUAAUCGGAUUUACUGGGCGUAAAGGGCGCGUAGGUGGUUAUGUAAGUGAGAUGUGAAAUCCCCGGGCUCAACCUGGGAACUGCAUCUUAUACUGCGUAGCUGGAGUGCAGUAGAGGGUAGUGGAAUUUCCGGUGUAGCGGUGAAAUGCGUAGAUAUCGGAAGGAACACCAGUGGCGAAGGCGGCUACCUGGACUGACACUGACACUGAGGCGCGAAAGCGUGGGGAGCAAACAGGAUUAGAUACCCGCGUAGUCCCUGUCUCUUAUAC
rnacentral:rRNA from 1 species